rnacentral:misc_RNA from 1 species
GGGAGUUUCAUUCUAGAUUCCUACAGUUUUAUUUUUCUGGUAUGAUAUUCUCCUCCAAGUAAUAUUCCUACAGUCUUAGGGACUCAUUCUUUAAGUCUCCAGCUUGGGGUGGGGAAGACUUUUUAUUUUUGUGGCAACCUGUGGGUAGGAAAUUCUGGUCAGUGGUUAAGAGAGGGGUUAUAAUGUUUGAUCAUUGUGAGUAU